AUCUAGGCUCUUGCAUCGAUGAAGAACGUAGCGAAAUGCGAUACUUGGUGUGAAUUGCAGAAUCCCGUGAACCAUCGAGUCUUUGAACGCAAGUUGCGCCCGAUGCCAUUAGGUUGAGGGCACGUCUGCCUGGGCGUCACAUAUCGAAGCCUCCUGCCAAUUUA
rnacentral:rRNA from 2 species